rnacentral:rRNA from 1 species
CAGAGGGUGCGAGCGUUGUCCGGAAUCACUGGGCGUAAAGGGCGCGUAGGUGGCGGGCCAAGUCCAUGGUGAAAGCUCGAUGCUCAACAUCGAGUCGGCCACGGAUACUGGGUCGCUCGAGCACUGUAGAGGCUAAUGGAAUUCCGGGUGUAGCGGUGGAAUGCGUAGAGAUCCGGAAGAACACCGGUGGCGAAGGCGGUUAGCUGGGCAGUUGCCGACACUGAGGCGCGACAGCGUGGGGAGCAAACAGGAUUAGAUACCCUGGUAGUCCACGCCGUAAACGAUGGGCACUAGAUGCUUGGGGGAGCGACCCCCUGAGUGUCGUCGCUAACGCAGUAAGUGCCCCGCCUGGGGAGUACGGCCGCAAGGCUG